rnacentral:rRNA from 1 species
GACGAACGCUGGCGGCGUGCUUAACACAUGCAAGUCGAGCGGAAAGGCCCUUCGGGGUACUCGAGCGGCGAACGGGUGAGUAACACGUGAGUAAUCUGCCCUUGGCUUUGGGAUAACUACCGGAAACGGUGGCUAAUACCGGAUACGACAACCGUCUGCAUGGGCUGGUUGUGGAAAGUUUUUUCGGCCAGGGAUGUGCUCGCGGCCUAUCAACUUGUUGGUGGGGUAAUGGCCUACCAAGGCUUCGACGGGUAGCCGGCCUGAGAGGGUGACCGGCCACACUGGGACUGAGACACGGCCCAGACUCCUACGGGAGGCAGCAGUGGGGAAUAUUGGACAAUGGGCGGAAGCCUGAUCCAGCAACGCCGCGUGAGGGAUGACGGCCUUCGGGUUGUAAACCUCUUUCAGUACCGACGAAGCGCCGAUGAUGGUGGUGACGGUAGGUACAGAAGAAGCACCGGCCAACUACGUG